rnacentral:rRNA from 1 species
UACGGAGGGUGCAAGCGUUGUCCGGAAUCACUGGGCGUAAAGGGCGCGUAGGCGGCUGGGUAAGUCACGUGUGAAAGUCCGGGGCUCAACCCCGGAACGGCAUGUGGGACUGCCCGGCUAGAGCACGGUAGAGGCGAGUGGAAUUCCAGGUGUAGCGGUGGAAUGCGUAGAUAUCUGGAAGAACACCGGAGGCGAAGGCGGCUCGCUGGGCCGUUGCUGACGCUGAGGCGCGAAAGCGUGGGGAGCAAACAGG